AUUGAACGCUGGCGGCAUGCCUUACACAUGCAAGUCGAACGGUAACAGGUCUUCGGAUGCUGACGAGUGGCGAACGGGUGAGUAAUACAUCGGAACGUGCCUAGUAGUGGGGGAUAACUACUCGAAAGAGUGGCUAAUACCGCAUGAGAUCUACGGAUGAAAGCAGGGAUCGCAAGACCUUGUGCUACUAGAGCGGCCGAUGGCAGAUUAGGUAGUUGGUGGGAUAAAAGCUUACCAAGCCGACGAUCUGUAGCUGGUCUGAGAGGACGAUCAGCCACACUGGGACUGAGACACGGCCCAGACUCCUACGGGAGGCAGCAGUGGGGAAUUUUGGACAAUGGGCGAAAGCCUGAUCCAGCAAUGCCGCGUGCAGGAUGAAGGCCUUCGGGUUGUAACCUGCUUUUGUACGGAACGAAAAGCCCUGGGUUAAUACCCUGGGGUCAUGACGGUACCGUAAGAAUAAGCACCGGCUAACUACGUGCCAGCAGCCGCCGUAA
rnacentral:rRNA from 1 species